AGCUUGUGCUUCUUCCAGCCCAGUGUUUCUCAUGAUGUACUCUGCAUAUUUAAAACAAAUCCUGGGCACAUUUUAACAUACCAAUAGGAAAUGCAACAGUCUGCACACUAGGGGCACAUUACAGUCACCCAAGGAGCUGUCUGCCCAGCGCUUGUGCACAGAGCUUUCAUUUAAUUGGCCUGCAGAAAGGCCUCAGGUGAUAAUGUGUAGCCAGAGCGGAGACACUCAGCGAGUGGUUCUCAAAGUGUGAUCCUGGGAUCAGCAGCGUCAGUAUCCCCUGGGGGCUUGUUAGGAAUACAAAUUUGGAGGCCCCACCCACAUCUCCUAAUUCAAAACCUCUGGCAGUAAGGUCUUAAUCAAGUUCUCCUGGGUGACUGUGAAAGAGGCUAAAGUUUGCAAACCACUGUGCUGGGCUAAAGCAGAGCAGAGUCAGAGAAGCAGGCCACCAGUGGGCCGAGGGCCUGGAGCCCUUACAUUUCUGGCCACAUGUUUAAUGCCAUCUCCUGGUGCUGAGCAACAGCUUCUUCCCUUCCUGGAAUCUUGGUGCCCUCCAUUAAUCCUGCUGAAGUCUCGUUUAGAAGGACUUUGUACAACACGAACUUCAGUCCCGAGUAUGCAGCAGCAGUUCAGAUGUUCCUAACCCUGGGACAGUCAGACAUGAUCAGAUUUCUCUGACAAACGUGUUUCCUAAGUCAAAAGCAUCACCUUAGUGUUCAGUGCCUUACAGUGGCCUCCGUUUUAAAGAAAGCAUCUGUGUUAUAGAAAACUAGUCUCUGAACUUUAUUAUAUGGACCCCAUGCUGCUUAGUGCAGUGACAUUUUUCAUGGGUGACUGUGGUUGAGAAAGUUGUGAAGGACUGCGUAACUACACUUUACUGAGCAUAAUCAUUAAUAAAACAUAUGAUCACCUUCCUAC
rnacentral:lncRNA from 1 species